CUUCGGGGUACUCGAGCGGCGAACGGGUGAGUAACACGUGAGUAAUCUGCCCCAGGCUCUGGGAUAGCCACCGGAAACGGUGAUUAAUACCGGAUAUGACAACCGAUCGCAUGAUCUGGUUGUGGAAAGUUUUUCGGCCUGGGAUGUGCUCGCGGCCUAUCAGCUUGUUGGUGAGGUAAUGGCUCACCAAGGCUUCGACGGGUAGCCGGCCUGAGAGGGUGACCGGCCACACUGGGACUGAGACACGGCCCAGACUCCUACGGGAGGCAGCAGUGGGGAAUAUUGGACAAUGGGCGGAAGCCUGAUCCAGCAACGCCGCGUGAGGGAUGACGGCCUUCGGGUUGUAAACCUCUUUCAGCACAGACGAAGCGAAAGUGACGGUAUGUGCAGAAGAAGGACCGGCCAACUACGUGCCAGCAGCCGCGGUAAUACGUAGGGUCCGAGCGUUGUCCGGAAUUAUUGGGCGUAAAGGGCUCGUAGGCGGUCUGUCGCGUCGGGAGUGAAAACCAGGUGCUUAACACCUGGCCUGCUUCCGAUACGGGCAGACUAGAGGUACUCAGGGGAGAAUGGAAUUCCUGGUGUAGCGGUGAAAUGCGCAGAUAUCAGGAGGAACACCGGUGGCGAAGGCGGUUCUCUGGGAGUAUCCUGACGCUGAGGAGCGAAAGUGUGGGGAGCGAACAGGAUUAGAUACCCUGGUAGUCCACACCGUAAACGUUGGGGCGCUAGGUGUGGGACACAUU
rnacentral:rRNA from 1 species